ACCAGGAUGGCCGAGUGGUUAAGGCGUUGGACUUAAGAUCCAACGGGCCGUGAGCCCACGUGGGUUCAAACCCCACUCCUGGUA